ensembl:lncRNA
GUGCUUAUUUACAUAAAAACCUUGCCACAGGCUGUUUAAUUUCCUCUGGAGCAUCUAUUCAUUUAGACAUAAAUUAUCCAAUGACUACCAGUUGACUUACAUUUAACUCCACCUCUGGACCUCUCAAGGGUACACCAGAAGAGAGCAACAGUUAAAAAUAACUAAAGGAAACCUAUCUGGAAGCUGUGAGUAGGUGUUCUGGCUGCCACGCAUACGCUGCCAAAGGAAAAAUAUCAGAGGCUUACUGUUUAUUUUCUUUUUGGUGCAUUUUAUACACAGCAGUACAAACUCUGGCAGCUCCUGUCUGACUGAAUCUUACUUACUGUGCAUUUUGGAUGUCACUGCUGUUAAAGUUCGAUUGUGUAGUGUUAGAUGUGGCAGAAAUGUUUAUCCUGUAACUUAUAAUGUCUCCAGAGGACAAUAAAAUGGGCAUGGAUUAUUUUUUUCUGCCUGGCAGGAUACUGGAAAUAAGCUCCUAUAGUGGAAAGUUUGCUGUGAGCAGGGCAGGCUGGUGCAGAGCUACUUGCUGUUCCCAGUCAUUUUGGCAACGUGGAGCAUGAGCUGCAGAACAGGGAGUGCUGACAGUGUGGAUGAACGGGUGCAUUGAAGGGGAGAGCUGCUUUGGCUGUAUGGUAAAUCUUAGGAACUCUGCUGCUGGAAGCAGCAUUUUCCUGUGCUGGGCACGUGCUCCCGUCUGCUCUCAUCCCCCUGACCUCCAGGGCUAGUAUAAGUACCUCAAGAUCUGUGUUGGGCAGCAUUGAGACCACCCCCUGUAUGUCUUUGUCUUAAAUUACACCUCUUGAAGUUGGUCUGAUCAUUGAUCUGCCCCUACAUUUUUAGUGAAAGAGGAUACUUUAGGC